CAUUAUGCAUCUGCAUUAUGCAUUAACCAGACCUCCCCAAGGAAAGGAAUACCUGCUCAACCAUAAAAAUCUAUUUUUCUUGUCUUGACGUCAACCAUGUAACUCUUUAGAAGAUAACAUUCCUUUCUCCAUCCUGUAAGGGGUCAUGAUGGCCCACCGCUGGCCUCGGACGUGCAGACAUCUUUGGUGGACUUUAUGAGCAGUGUAUCAUUUCCCUUAAAGAUAGCAACUGGUACAGAACAGACUGGCCAGAUGACCGGGGGAGAUACAGGGCCACGCCUAACAGACAUUCUGAGCUUAAGGACGCGCUCGUGACCUUAUCAACGCCCCUCGUUAUAUUAUGUGUAUUCGGCCUAUUUUACAAGACGAUUGUUUCUUUGAUCAAAAAGAACACGAUUGAGCCUCAGAUAAAAUGAAUGACGACUACAGACGACUUGAAAGGAUUGACCAGACGGACAGUUCAGUCAGAUCAGUCACUGUAUCCGAGUAAAACUCUAGGGGCAGGAAGAAGCGGCAAGAGCGGCCCGUUUCCCAGCCCCAUGACAGAGGAGUCAGACUGGGGGUCCCGAGGCCUGGGGUAACAGGGUCCAGUGCAGUCACAUAACCCGAGCCACCCGUCACGGAAAUCCUCGCCACGAAACAGGCUGGUCACGCGGCGCCCUCGGAGACUUGACUGAAGUGAAGACGGAAGAGGAAGGGAUUGUAAAAUAAGGAAUGUUGCCCACCAUCCAGUUCUACAGGAAUGAAGUCAUCACCCACCACCGGCGCUGGCCAGCAACACGCCCUGCAGGAGCUGAGGACAAAGGGCAGGAUGAGGCACCCUGGGAAAGCUGGCAGGACUGGCCUGCAGACCGCGCUCCAGGAGAACAUGCUGUAAACCCGGCUUCCUGCAUCUCCUCAUGCCUAGAAAGGCACGAGAACCAUUGCAAACAUCUUCCACGAGACGUGUGCUCGACUGCACGUACCUCCAUCGGAGGGUACUGGGCUCCCCCUCCCUCUUCAGAAUGGCCCUCGGAACUUUCUGGAACAUUCGGAGUCUCCCAGGUUACAAGACCAGGCCGUGAUGCUGAGAUUCAUGAGACCCGCACUGUGGUUCUCAGCAGCAGCCCCAAGGCACUUCCAGGCUCGUCUUAUCUUUCCACCCCACCGCCGCACCGCCCAACUUGGAGCCCUCCAGGGACGCCCACUACUCUCAGGAAGAAGCCCCCGCUCCCCAGUAUGGCGUGCAAAGCACAGCGGGGAGGCUGCCCCCUGGGAAGGCUCCUGCCCACCCUCUUCCUCACCUGCCUGUGGGGGCGCCUCCUCCCCUGGGCCACUGCUGGGCCUCCCUGGCACCAAGCUCUGGAGUGGGGGGGCCCAUGUCAGGAUGUCAGAUCUAACACAUGAAAAUGUUUGCCUAAAAUAAAAGAACUAUGUCCCUACA
rnacentral:lncRNA from 1 species